GGGGGGUCACAGAGAUGGUUGGGGGGAGAUGUCGGCGCUGAAGGGGGUUAUUACCCAAUGUUUAUCUGUCCUGGAGUGUUGGGUAACUUUCCUCUGGACUUUGGUCCGGAUUUGAAACCUUCCACGAUCUCCGUCGGCUGGGGUUCCCACAUCGGAAUCACCGGGCAGCAACCGUGCUCCCAGGAGGAGAAAGAGGGAAGGAACGUCGUCUGAGUCACCAGGCCGCGGAUUGAAUCGUCGGAGAUAAUGAAGGCAUUCUGGCUCUUCCUGAUUCCCUGCUGGCCUGCCUUUGGGAACGCCGACCCCGAGACCUGACCGCGAUUCCCCGAGGUGACCGUUCAGGAUUUACUCGAUGUGGUUAACGAGACACAGGACACGGUCUCUCUCCAGUCGAGGAUCUUGCACUUGGAACAGGACGUGUCCGUCCUGCAGGACUAUGUGCCGAGAGUCAUCUUCAACUCCUGGGUCUCCUUCGGAC